GUACACGAAGGCACACAGGCUGUGAGCUCGAUGAGUAGGGCGGGACACGUGAUAUCCUGUCUGAAGAUGGGGGGACCAUCCUCCAAGGCUAAAUACUCCUGACUGACCGAUAGUGAACCAGUACCGUGAGGGAAAGGCGAAAAGAACCCCGGCGAGGGGAGUGAAACAGAACCUGAAACCGUGUACGUACAAGCAGUGGGAGCCUUCGUA
rnacentral:rRNA from 1 species